rnacentral:rRNA from 1 species
UACAGAGGGCGCGAGCGUUGUCCGGAAUCACUGGGCGUAAAGGGCUCGUAGGCGGUCUGUUGCGUCGGGAGUGAAAACUUACAGCUUAACUGUGAGCGUGCUUCCGAUACGGGCAGACUUGAGGUAUUCAGGGGAGAACGGAAUUCCUGGUGUAGCGGUGAAAUGCGCAGAUAUCAGGAGGAACACCGGUGGCGAAGGCGGUUCUCUGGGAAUAUCCUGACGCUGAGGAGCGAAAGUGUGGGGAGCGAACAGG